GGGAAUAUUGGACAAUGGGCGCAAGCCUGAUCCAGCCAUGCCGCGUGAGUGAUGACGGCCCUAGGGUUGUCAAGCUCUUUUACCUGGGAAGAUAAUGACGGUACCAGGAGAAUAAGCCCCGGCUAACUUCGUGCCAGCAGCCGCGGUAAUACGAAGGGGGCUAGCGUUGUUCGGAUUUACUGGGCGUAAAGCGCACGUAGGCGGACGCUUAAGUCAGGGGUGAAAUCCCGAGGCUCAACCUCGGAACUGCCUUUGAUACUGGGUGUCUUGAGUCCGGGAGAGGUGAGUGGAACUGCGAGUGUAGAGGUGAAAUUCGUAGAUAUUCGCAAGAACACCAGUGGCGAAGGCGGCUCACUGGCCCGGUACUGACGCUGAGGUGCGAAAGCGUGGGGAGCAAA
rnacentral:rRNA from 1 species